rnacentral:rRNA from 1 species
UAAUACGUAGGGCGCAAGCGUUGUCCGGAAUUAUUGGGCGUAAAGAGCUCGUAGGCGGCUUGUUGCGUCGGUUGUGAAAGCCCGGGGCUUAACCCCGGGUCUGCGGUCGAUACGGGCAGGCUAGAGUGUGGUAGGGGAGAUCGGAAUUCCUGGUGUAGCGGUGAAAUGCGCAGAUAUCAGGAGGAACACCGGUGGCGAAGGCGGAUCUCUGGGCCAUUACUGACGCUGAGGAGCGAAAGCGUGGGGAGCGAACAGGAUUAGAUACCCUGGUAGUCCACGCCGUAAACGUUGGGAACUAGGUGUUGGCGACAUUCCACGUCGUCGGUGCCGCAGCUAACGCAUUAAGUUCCCCGCCUGGGGAGUACGGCCGCAAGGCU